UACGUAGGGGGCAAGCGUUGUCCGGAUUCAUUGGGCGUAAAGAGCUCAUAGGCGGUUCAGCAAGUCGGGUGUGAAACCUCCAGGCUCAACCUGGAGACGCCACCCGAUACUGCUGUGACUUGAGUCCGGUAGGGGACCACGGAAUUCCUGGUGUAGCGGUGAAAUGCGCAGAUAUCAGGAGGAACACCGGUGGCGAAGGCGGUGGUCUGGGCCGGAACUGACGCUGAGGAGCGAAAGCGUGGGGAGCGAACAGG
rnacentral:rRNA from 1 species